CUAACACAUGCAAGUCGAGCGGAUGACGGGAGCUUGCUCCUUGAUUCAGCGGCGGACGGGUGAGUAAUGCCUAGGAAUCUGCCUGGUAGUGGGGGACAACGUUUCGAAAGGAACGCUAAUACCGCAUACGUCCUACGGGAGAAAGCAGGGGACCUUCGGGCCUUGCGCUAUCAGAUGAGCCUAGGUCGGAUUAGCUAGUUGGUGGGGUAAUGGCUCACCAAGGCGACGAUCCGUAACUGGUCUGAGAGGAUGAUCAGUCACACUGGAACUGAGACACGGUCCAGACUCCUACGGGAGGCAGCAGUGGGGAAUAUUGGACAAUGGGCGAAAGCCUGAUCCAGCCAUGCCGCGUGUGUGAAGAAGGUCUUCGGAUUGUAAAGCACUUUAAGUUGGGAGGAAGGGCAGUAAGUUAAUACCUUGCUGUUUUGACGUUACCGACAGAAUAAGCACCGGCUAACUCUGUG
rnacentral:rRNA from 1 species